rnacentral:rRNA from 1 species
GGNUGAUCUGCCCUCGUGGGUGAUCUGCCCUCGUGGGUGAUCUGCCCUCGUGGGUGAUCUGCCCUCGUGGAAGUCAUCUGCGCUGCGUGAUGGGCCCGCGGUCUAUCAGCUUGUUGGUGGGGUGAUGGCCUACCAAGGCGACGACGGGUAGCCGGCCUGAGAGGGUGUCCGGCCACACUGGGACUGAGAUACGGCCCAGACUCCUACGGGAGGCAGCAGUGGGGAAUAUUGCACAAUGGGCGCAAGCCUGAUGCAGCGACACCGCGUGAGGGAUGACGGCCUUCGGGUUGUAAACCUCUUUCAAUACGGACAAACGCAAGUGACGGUACGUGUAGAAGAAGCACCGGCCAACUACGUGCCAGCAGCCGCGGUAAUAC